UGGGGAAUUUUGCGCAAUGGACGAAAGUCUGACGCAGCAACGCCGCGUGGGUGAUGAAGGUCUUCGGAUUGUAAAACCCUGUCGCCAGGGACGAAGGGUGAGGUGUGAAUAGCGCCUUACUUUGACGGUACCUGGAAAGGAAGCCCCGGCUAACUCUGUGCCAGCAGCCGCGGUAAUACAGAGGGGGCAAGCGUUAUUCGGAAUUAUUGGGCGUAAAGGGCGCGUAGGCGGUUUUUUAAGUCGGAUGUGUAAUCCCUGGGCUCAACCCAGGAACUGCAUCCGAGACUGGAAGGCUAGAGUGCUGGAGAGGGUGGUGGAAUUCCUCGUGUAGCGGUGAAAUGCGUAGAGAUGAGGAGGAACACCAGUGGCGAAGGCGGCCACCUGGACAGUAACUGACGCUGAGGCGCGAAAGCGUGGGUAGCAAACA
rnacentral:rRNA from 1 species